rnacentral:tRNA from 1 species
GGGCCGCUAGCUCAACUGGCUAGAGCAACGGACUCUUAAUCCGUAGGUUCGGGGUUCGAGUCCCUGGCGGCCCA